CCUAUUUAAAGUACAAACUAUGUAAAAUAUUUUAUACAAAACCAUCUUAAAAGUUGAAAAACCUAAUAAUUUUCUUAUCUUAUAUUCUUAUAAAUAAUAGUAGAAAAUAAUAAAUUAUUAGUUAAUACUAGGCUUGGAUUUUAAAGCAUAUGCUUUUUUUUAUACAUAAAAGUAUAAAACGUCAUUUUUCACGUCAUUCUGAUUCCAAAUACGCCAAUUUAUUUUUGCUUUUUUUAUGUUAAUGGGUACAUUUUUAGUUUUUUUCAGUUAUUUCAGCUACAGAAUUUUUAUUUUUUUAUUAUGAUACUAAAUAUAUUAAUACUAAAAAAUUGAACUAAUAAGAAACGUAAAAAACCAGAAUGCGUUAUGUAUAUAUUGGAUUAUUAUUGUUUUCGUUAUCAGCUUGUUUAUUAAAUGUAUUAAACAUAUUGAUCUACACAUAUUAUAGCAAACACUAACUACCUAUACGGUCAGUAUGUCUAUAACAUCGAUAUCGAUCAUUUCAAAGUUUAAGAUUUAGUGUUGUAAUUUGAAACCUCUUGUAUGAAGUGAAGUACGCACUGCUCAAUUUAGUGGAUAUAGAGAGUCGUUUUCUAUGUAUAAAAAUAUUCCGUCAGACAAUAUUGAGUCAGUUUCACAACUGCAAAUCUAGGAAAGACAUGGAAAAAUAUGACGAUCGGUAGUACAUCGUCGUGUGGCCGCCUUACCGAUUACUGGAUCCAUAAAAGACAAGAUUUUCAUAGUGUAUACUUUAAUAACAAUAAUUCCACACGAGCUGAUGCGUCGGAUUUUCGUGUGACAACUGACAACCAUAUUGGGCGAAGGAGCUUUCGGAUCUGUAGCAUUGACAACUAAUAAUAUAACUGACACUGUUCACGGCGUUCACGCUACAAAAUAGCCAAUUUAUCAGUUUCAAUUGAACACCCGUGGCGGCCAAUCUGAUGCACGAUUCUAAAGACAAAUCGUGAAUACGGUUUCUUGAUUUAGACUUGAUUAAAUUCAUAGUAGAAAAUGCCGAUUCACAAAUAUACGUACUGCCAAAUAAUGACAAAAUUUCAAGAGAAAAAUUCCGUAAUGUUGGGUAUUUUUCUUGCGAACACAGUUUCCAAAACUUUUCAGGAGGCAAAUUUACUUUUGAUUGAAGAAAACAGUCUGCUUGUAAAUCACAUAACUCCAUUUGAAAAUCGGGAGGUUGUACUGAGAUAUCAACUGUCAUUGGGUUGUUAAAUAAUUCAAAUUUAGGUUUCAAUAUAUAAAAAUCCUUAAAUCGUGAAUUAAAUUCUGUUAUAAGUUCUGUAAUUAUAUUUUUAAAUUCAAUAAAGCAUACCGAUUGAUUUUCAAUUUUUUUAAUUUCUUGACAUGAUGGAAAAUAUGUAGUAUCAUUGUUUUCUAAUGCGUUUUUAAAUACUUCUAAUUUUUUCCGAAAACCUUCAAUAUUACUAAAAAGCUAUUGCUGUUAGGUUUGGCACGUUCUAGAACUUGGCACGAGGGCGGUGUGAACUACGGUGGUUAUAAAAGUAUUAUACCGUAAAUGCUAGGCAAUUGGUAAAUAACAAUAUAUGGGACUAGUGGCAGCAAGAAUGGGAGGAGGAGGCAACCACUGGAGCGUGGACGAAGCGACUUAUACCGGACGUAAAGAGCUGGGCGAGCUGAACACAAGGGGCUUCGGGUUUUUACAUGACUCAGUUCUUGACAGGUCACGGUUGCUUCUUAGCAUACUUGCAUAGAUUUACGAGGGUGCAAAAUCCGUAUUGCAUGGCAUGUAGAUAUCCAAUAGACAACGCGGAAAACACGUUCUUCAAAUGCGGCCGAGCAAACGUGUAAAACUGGUAAAUUCAGUUGGCGAGAAAGUCACUCCAGAAUCUAUAGUCUCUAUUAUGCUAAAAAAAAUAGUGAGCCGUCGCGGGACGCUUGACAGAUGUGAAACAUCAAAAACAACCCCAAAUAGAAGCAUUUAUCAUUCUUUAAUCCGAAUUCUAUACAUUCGACCAAGAGCAUCAGUAUAACGCAUGCUUUGCUCUUGUGAUUGAAAAGCACAAAGUCAAGCCAUACUAACGCGGCGCUCUUCACGUGCAAUUUCUUGUUCUUCUUUAGUCCUUUAAUUUGCAAUGUUUCGAAUCCUAGUUGUAUUACGGCUUUAUUGUGAACGAUUUGUUCGUCUUAAUCAUGACAUGGUAUUGUUAAAUCAUAAAAAUAAAUUUAUUUUUAAUUUUAAAUUCGAUUCAUCAAUAGUUAUGGAGACAUUAUUAUUGUUAUUGUAAUUUGUAACUAAUAGCAACCAAACUAAAAUAUGAAAUUACUAAAAUUUCUAUCGUAAAUCUCAAAAUGUCUGUUUGAGAUGCCGAGCUUCGGGGAAUUGAGCCGACGAGCCAUGACGCGUCGCCACGUCACAGUUGGUUUCACUACCAUACCGCGUCAUUAGAUGUUUCACAGCUGGGAUUCUGUAGACCGGUAUAUCACGCUGGUAUUGGCCACUAAAGAGAAGAAAGACCAGCAAAGGCAAAGGGAUCAUCAUAAGUAACCAUAGAUUGCGGAUCAAAUAAAUGCCAGAGUGCUGCUAAAAUUAUACAAUAAUGUACCUAAUUUAAUGAAAUGUAUUUUCAAAAAAUAAUAAUAAUUGCGACGUGAUUUCCAAACGUAUUAUAAAUUAUGUAGUAGGACAAAUCACUGAAGAAUUCAUCUCUGCUGCAUAUAGUUUCGAUGAGUGUACUUGAUUGAUGAAUGUACUUGAAUUUUUCGAUAAUAUAAUUACAUAUAUUGGU